GACGUAGGGCGCGAGCGUUUGUCCGGAUUUAUUGGGCGUAAAGAGCUCGUAGGCGGCUCGUUGCGUCGGCUGUGAAAACCCGCAGCUCAACUGUGGGCUUGCAGCUGAUACGGGCGGGCUGGAGUUCGGUAGGGGAGACUGGAAUUCCUGGUGUAGCGGUGAAAUGCGCAGAUAUCAGGAGGAACACCGGUGGCGAAGGCGGGUCUCUGGGCCGAUACUGACGUGAGGAGCGAAAGCGUGGGGGAGCGAACAGG
rnacentral:rRNA from 1 species